rnacentral:rRNA from 1 species
UACGUAGGUGGCAAGCGUUGUCCGGAUUUACUGGGCGUAAAGAGCGCGCAGGCGGUCGUUCAAGUCGCGUGUGAAAGCCCCCGGCUCAACUGGGGAGGGUCACGCGAUACUGAUCGACUCGAAGGCAGGAGAGGGUAGUGGAAUUCCCGGUGUAGUGGUGAAAUGCGUAGAUAUCGGGAGGAACACCAGUGGCGAAGGCGACUCACUGGACACAUAUUGACGCUGAGGUGCGAAAGCGUGGGGAGCAAACAGG